ACACCUAUUGUUAUAUUUAAAUUAAUUAAAUUCAGUUACCUAAGAAAUAAAUAGUUAUACUAUUAUAGUACUGCAGCAGUUCAUGCAUUAUACUCCAUAGUAUAGACAUCUGUAGUUCACCAAAACACAUUUAAUCCUGUCAAACUUACUUCUAUGUACUUUUAUUACAACUUUCAAAAAUACAUCAAGUGUAUGACUCGUGAAAGUGAAUUUUGCUGUUUUGUUCAACAUUACCUAGUCACUAAUUAACAUCGUCAAUUAUUGCAAUACUUUAUAAACCAACAGAUCUGAAUGAAUAAAUGUUAUAUUCUAAAUACACCCUCACUCUGUUAGACGACUACUUGAAGACUCACAAUCUUGUAGCAGCUAGUCCAUACCUACUUCCGAGCUGUUUUUAACAGUUUUGAGAAGAGCAACAAUUCAAAUCUUAAUAUGAGUUGGAUUCUAUAGUUUUACUUCUAUUUUUAGAUUAUAUAUUUACACUGGCCAACUGGUCACCAAUGAAAAUGUACAGGUUUUGUUACCGACUACAAAUCGUUUAAAGUUGGACUGUACAAUAUAUGUGCAGAGAUUCUACUAACACAAAUGGAUACUUCUAAUUAUCUUUCUAUAAAAUCAUUUGCCAACUUACAUAGUUGUACGGAGUUCUCUCAAGUUUUGAAGCAUUCAUCAAUAAACAGUUUUUAUAAAUGGUUAAAGGUGAUUAGUUCUUAUCAUUAUCUUGUGAAAUGUGUGGAGAUUAUUUCCUAUAAUGACAUUGCUGUUCCAUUUGUGGUGAAAGCCAUUGAAUGUGUUAUUACAUGGGUAAAAUAUGAUUGGAGAAAAAUGUGUUGCCAGUAUAAUGGAACUCGUGCGUUUGCCAUUAUUAGCAUCAACCACCAAUAUAUAGAAAUAUGAAUUGCGAAAUGAGUUCAGCAUUUCGCCAUUCCAAAAACGAUUCGGUGUUGAGGUUUUGAUGUUACUGUUUAAAAAUGGGUAGCUAGUACAACUAUAGAAGUGAUUUGCGAUGGAUACGAGCGUUUUCAAAACAUUUGAAGUCUGGCGAACUUUAUGAUCCCACACAUGAACUACCUAGUUGAAGAACUGUCUGUAUAUCACAAAGGUGUUAAUAUAGAAGUUUUGGAAGAUGUAUGUAUGCUAUCAGUGUUAGUGAUGGAUCAACAUUUCUUAACAGUAUUGAGGCCUGAUGACUAAUGAUGGAUUAUGGUCGUUUAUUGCUAAUACAUUUCUCGAUACAUACCUGGAUUAGCCAAUCAGAUGGUGUAUUGUAUGUGAUUGACGGAGAGACAAAGAAAUCUGAAGAAUUUGUUAAUGCUAUAGAAGUGUACAACCGAACACCACUAAUACCUGGUCCAUGGAUACAUUGUCAAGAAGGAACAUUGACUUCUGUGUGUUUAGUUGAGUAGUCAUUAUUGG